UGCAAGUCGAGCGGACAGAUGGGAGCUUGCUCCCUGAUGUUAGCGGCGGACGGGUGAGUAACACGUGGGUAACCUGCCUGUAAGACUGGGAUAACUCCGGGAAACCGGGGCUAAUACCGGAUGGUUGUCUGAACCGCAUGGUUCAGACAUAAAAGGUGGCUUCGGCUACCACUUACAGAUGGACCCGCGGCGCAUUAGCUAGUUGGUGAGGUAACGGCUCACCAAGGCGACGAUGCGUAGCCGACCUGAGAGGGUGAUCGGCCACACUGGGACUGAGACACGGCCCAGACUCCUACGGGAGGCAGCAGUAGGGAAUCUUCCGCAAUGGACGAAAGUCUGACGGAGCAACGCCGCGUGAGUGAUGAAGGUUUUCGGAUCGUAAAGCUCUGUUGUUAGGGAAGAACAAGUGCCGUUCAAAUAGGGCGGCACCUUGACGGUACCUAACCAGAAAGCCACGGCUAACUACGUGCCAGCAGCCGCGGUAAUACGUAGGUGGCAAGCGUUGUCCGGAAUUAUUGGGCGUAAAGGGCUCGCAGGCGGUUUCUUAAGUCUGAUGUGAAAGCCCCCGGCUCAACCGGGGAGGGUCAUUGGAAACUGGGGAACUUGAGUGCAGAAGAGGAGAGUGGAAUUCCACGUGUAGCGGUGAAAUGCGUAGAGAUGUGGAGGAACACCAGUGGCGAAGGCGACUCUCUGGUCUGUAACUGACGCUGAGGAGCGAAAGCGUGGGGAGCGAACAGGAUUAGAUACCCUGGUAGUCCACGCCGUAAACGAUGAGUGCUAAGUGUUAGGGGGUUUCCGCCCCUUAGUGCUGCAGCUAACGCAUUAAGCACUCCGCCUGGGGAGUACGGUCGCAAGACUGAAACUCAAAGGAAUUGACGGGGGCCCGCACAAGCGGUGGAGCAUGUGGUUUAAUUCGAAGCAACGCGAAGAACCUUACCAGGUCUUGACAUCCUCUGACAAUCCUAGAGAUAGGACGUCCCCUUCGGGGGCAGAGUGACAGGUGGUGCAUGGUUGUCGUCAGCUCGUGUCGUGAGAUGUUGGGUUAAGUCCCGCAACGAGCGCAACCCUUGAUCUUAGUUGCCAGCAUUCAGUUGGGCACUCUAAGGUGACUGCCGGUGACAAACCGGAGGAAGGUGGGGAUGACGUCAAAUCAUCAUGCCCCUUAUGACCUGGGCUACACACGUGCUACAAUGGACAGAACAAAGGGCAGCGAAACCGCGAGGUUAAGCCAAUCCCACAAAUCUGUUCUCAGUUCGGAUCGCAGUCUGCAACUCGACUGCGUGAAGCCGGAAUCGCUAGUAAUCGCGAUCAG
rnacentral:rRNA from 1 species